rnacentral:rRNA from 1 species
UACAGAGGUCCCAAGCGCUGUUCGGAUUCACUGGGCGUAAAGGGUGCGUAGGCGGUCGGGUAAGUCUGAUGUGAAAUCUCGGAGCUUAACUCCGAAACUGCAUUCGAUACUGCCGUGCUUGAGGACUGGAGAGGAGACUGGAAUUUACGGUGUAGCGGUGAAAUGCGUAGAUAUCGUAAGGAAGACCAGUGGCGAAGGCGGGUCUCUGGACAGUUCCUGACGCUGAGGCAUGAAGGUCAGGGGAGCAAACGGG